GCGGCGGCGCCUCGACGGACUCGGGCAGCGGGCUGGCCGGGCUCGCGGAGCGGCUGGGCUCGGUCGACGGCCUGUUCGAGGUGGACUCGCCGCCC
rnacentral:tRNA from 1 species